rnacentral:snoRNA from 1 species
UGACUAUUAAGAACUGUAUUAAAGAUCCAUGUACAUUUAUUGGUCAUUCAAGUGGGGCAAAGGAAAUAUCCUUUUAAAACUCAGGCAAACUGAGUGUCCCAUAACUUGUCAGAGGAAACAAAU